rnacentral:rRNA from 1 species
UACAGAGGUCUCAAGCGUUGUUCGGAUUCAUUGGGCGUAAAGGGUGCGUAGGUGGCGGGGCAAGUCUGGUGUGAAAUCCCGGGGCUCAACCCUGGAACUGCACCGGAUACUGCUUUGCUAGAGUACUGGAGAGGGAACUGGAAUUUACGGUGUAGCAGUGAAAUGCGUAGAUAUCGUAAGGAAGACCAGUGGCGAAGGCGAGUUCCUGGACAGUUACUGACACUGAGGCACGAAGGCCAGGGGAGCAAACGGG